rnacentral:tRNA from 1 species
AGUCCCGAGGUGUAAAACACGUAAGAUUGCAAAUCUUGAAUUGCCGAUUGUCGUCGACCGGGGCUU